rnacentral:rRNA from 1 species
CCCUUAGAUGUUCUGGGCUGCACACGUGCUACACUGGCAGGUUCAGCGAGCUUCAUGCCCUGAUCUGAAAGGAAUGGGAAAUCUUUUCAAAACCUGCCGUGCUUGGGAUAGAUGUUUGCAAUUAUUCAUCUUCAACGAGGAUUGCCUUGUAAGCGCACGUCAUCAGCGUGCAUUGAAUACGACCCUGUAUUCUGUACACACCGCCCGUCGCUCCUACCGAUUGGGUGAUCCGGUGAAUGAUUCGGACUGACGUUGUACUAGCUACUAGUUCAAUGUUAGGAAGUUUUGUGAACCUAAUCACUUGGAGGAAGGAGAAGUCGUAACA